AUUGAACGCUGGCGGCAUGCUUUACACAUGCAAGUCGAACGGUAACAGGUUAAGCUGACGAGUGGCGAACGGGUGAGUAAUGCAUCGGAACGUGCCCGGUCGUGGGGGAUAACGCAGCGAAAGCUGCGCUAAUACCGCAUACGAUCUGAGGAUGAAAGCGGGGGACCGUAAGGCCUCGCGCGAUCGGAGCGGCCGAUGUCAGAGUAGGUAGUUGGUGGGGUAAAGGCUCACCAAGCCGACGAUCUGUAGCUGGUCUGAGAGGACGACCAGCCACACUGGGACUGAGACACGGCCCAGACACCUACGGGAGGCAGCGGUGGGGAAUUUUGGACAAUGGGCGCAAGCCUGAUUCAGCAAUGCCGCGUGAAGGAAGAAGGCCUUCGGGUUGUAAACUGCUUUUGUACGGAGCGAAAAGGCUCUCUCUAAUACGGGGGGCUCAUGACGGUACCGUAAGAAUAAGCACCGGCUAACUACGUGCCAGCAGCCGCAGUAA
rnacentral:rRNA from 1 species